rnacentral:misc_RNA from 1 species
UCGAAUAGUCGUGGUGCUGUGCUGGCCUUUCGGGGCAUGUGCACGCAUUGCAAUUAUUAUCAUCUUUUUUGUGAACCAGUGUAGGCCUGGCCUUUUGUUCGGUGUGAAAGCGUCGUUCGAUGGGGCCAAGCCUAUGAUUUUAUAAACCUAUGCAUGUUUUAGAAUGUUUCCUUUACUUGACUGCAAAGUCAGUAAAUCAUAUA